rnacentral:rRNA from 1 species
UACGGGGGUUGCAAGCGUUAUUCGGAAUCACUGGGCGUAAAGCGCGCGCAGGCGGCCGUUUAAGUCAGAUGUGAAAGCCCGGGGCCCAACCCCGGAAGUGCAUUUGAUACUAUUCGGCUUGAGUAUGGGAGAGGGAAGUGGAAUUCCUGGUGUAGAGGUGAAAUUCGUAGAUAUCAGGAGGAACACAGGUGGCGAAGGCGACUUCCUGGACCAAUACUGACGCUGAGGCGCGAAGGCGUGGGGAGCAAACAGG